rnacentral:rRNA from 1 species
UGGGGAAUAUUGGACAAUGGGGGCAACCCUGAUCCAGCCAUGCCGCGUGAGUGAUGAAGGCCUUCGGGUUGUAAAGCUCUUUUGGCGGGGACGAUGAUGACGGUACCCGCAGAAUAAGCCCCGGCUAACUUCGUGCCAGCAGCCGCGGUAAGACGAAGGGGGCUAGCGUUGUUCGGAAUUACUGGGCGUAAAGCGAGUGUAGGCGGUUGCCGUAGUCAGGUGUGAAAGCCUUGAGCUCAACUCAAGAAAUGCACUUGAUACUGGGUGACUAGAGGACCGGAGAGGAUAGUGGAAUUCCCAGUGUAGUGGUGAAAUACGUGGAGAUUGGGAAGAACACCAGUGGCGAAGGCGGCUAUCUGGACGGUUACUGACGCUAAGACUCGAAAGCGUGGGGAGCAAACAGGAUUAGAUACCCUGGUAGUCCACGCCGUAAACGAUGGGUGCUAGACGUUGGCGAGCUUGCUCGUCAGUGUCGCAGCUAACGCGUUAAGCACCCCGCCUGGGGAGUACGGCCGCAAGGUUGAAACUUAAAGGAAUUGACGGGGGUCAUAGCUGUUUCCU